GCCAGGCUCCCGAGAACAAUAAUCGUAAAACACUGGGAUGGAGCCCAGGGCUGUGUCCCUCACCUCCACGACAGUCCUGAAUUGCACAAGACACUUGAGCCCUUUGCCUUAGGGACCGUGAUCCUACCUCGAGGCGCAGAAAGGCCCCGCGGCGCCGCGUCACACACCUGACUCGGGGAGCCCUGAGGGAUCUGACCGCCCCACAAGAUGGAGACUCGCGAGUCCGCCUGGCCUCGGAGCACGUUCUUGGCAGCAGGAGAUCUCGAAUCUGUCCUUCCUUCCAACUCCUCAGGCCAUGUCCACGGCCUCAUCUAAAAGGUUAUUUGCUAUGAUGUAAGAAGAAAAAAAACUCUUCGAUAUUCCUGAACUGGGAGGUGUUGUGUAUGCUUUUGAACUGUCAAAGGUUUGAAAAAUGUGCAAAACAGAUUUCUGAGGCGCUCUUCCGCUUGUCACACCCUAUAAACUUAACACGGAUCUUUUCGUGCUACGGAAGCGCAUGCUGGGAAAAGUGCAGUGUUCUGCUUCGAUUGAGCAACACUAGGUGAACCCACAGGGUUUCCACACACAGUAAAUAUGAAAUGUGAGAGAAGUCAAGAAUGACUCCAAGAUCUUGGUCCUGAAGGAUGAAAGUUGCCGCAAACUGAGAUGGGUAACCUUCUGAGUAGAACAGGUCUCAUGGAAGAGGAAAUCAAUCCGGAGCAUGCUAAAUUCUAAAAUCCUAACAAAAAAUGAAAGAAAAUCUAACACUAAGCUUCUGCACAGUUGUGGAGAGCAAGUCAUUUUCAGUCGUUCAUACAGGGACCUUUUAACACCACAAAUCUUUCCUAUUCCAUCCGUCUUCAGUUCCUUCCCGUAACAAACAGCAGCCUGAGAUAUGAUCUACAUACAGUCAUCCAGAAAAAGAAUUCCUAUUGGUCACUAUGGCUCCAGUUCCCAACAGGUCAAGGAAUGGGGAGCUCACCUCAUUAUUUCCAGAAAACUGACUACACACGGUACAUUUGUUUAGUCUGAACACUGACAACUCUAGAUUAGUUUAAAAAAAAAAAACUACUGCAGUAAAAUGGAAGCAAGAACAGAAGAAUGUGAAUCAUUUACUCCUGCGUGUCUUUACUGUUGUUGACACAAGUGCCCUGCCCAAGGGACGGGAGAGAGAAAGGGACAGUCGCUGGCAGUUUGUCCUGAAACUCGCUUCCAGCCAACUGAGAAUUUCCAGCUGCCAAAUAGCAGACUGGAACCAGAGGAGGCCGCUGAGAAAUAAAGUGAUGAAGAAGUCGGACUCUGGGCAGUGGAACAGCCAGGGCAAAGGGGCUGAGACUGUGUCGUGCUUAGCAUCUUACAGAAGUGUGGGAAGGGCUUGGAGCUGUGUGAGAACAGAGACUGGCAAGAGCCGGAAGAUGAAGAGAGAGCCUGGAGCAUCUAGGACAAUUUAGUGGUCCAACUGUCGUCCCCCACAGACACUCCAUCUUUGCAACUUUACUUUUUAAUACAUUUUAAUUUAUGCAUAACAGUUGUAGAUACUUAUAGGUACAAUACAUAUUUCAUCAUUUGCGUACAGUGUCUAAUGACCAAGUGAGAGUAACUGGCACAUCUUCCCCUCAGACAUUUGCCAUUUCUUUGUGCUGGAAACAUUCAAAAUCUCUCUAUAAUGAAAUACACAACUAAUUGUUGUCAACUAUAGCUACUUGACAGGUUCCUUGGCCUACACGCUUACCUAGUAUUUUUCCUGCAUUCUCCUCGGUUAGCAGUAUUCAAAGACCAGGAGAUGGGGCGUACGUUUGUAUUCCCUGCUAAGUAUACCACUUAACCUACAUGACAAGGCUUCUGUGUAUCUUUGAAGUUCCUACCUAAUGUGACUCUUGAAAGUGCUAUUUGAUGUUUCUCAAGAGGAACUAAGCUCCACAUUCCAUGCUGCUCAGUUGUAGCUCAUGACACAAUGCAGGCAAAACCUCACAUCUAGCUAGUUUAAAUAGCAAGAAAUACUAACACUCUUCUACAGCUUCGACCCUAACAUUAUGCCUGUGGCAUAGCCGGCACUCAUAGAUACAAAAGCGGUGGUACUUAACUAAUCUCUCUCUCCCUCCCUCCCCGUCCCUCUCUGCCUGCCUCCUAGGUAGGUUGACUCUUUUGAUUUUUGCCUUGGGCAGGUCUUGCACCUUACCUCCAGUCAUUCUCUAAUCCAGUGGUUCUCAGCCUUCCUAACUCUGUGACCCUUUAAUAGA